CCCGGGUCUUGUACACACCGCCCGUCACACCACGGGAGUAGGCAACACCCGAAGCCGGUGAUCCAACCCGCAAGGGAGGAAGCCGUCGAAGGUGGGGCCUGUGACUGGGGUG
rnacentral:rRNA from 1 species